UCCUACGGGAGGCAGCAGUGGGGAAUAUUGGACAAUGGGCGCAAGCCUGAUCCAGCAACGCCGCGUGGAGGACGAAGGUCUUCGGAUCGUAAACUCCUGUCAGGUGGGACGAACGGACGCCGGUGAACAAUCGGCGUCUCUGACGGUACCGCCAGAGGAAGCCCCGGCUAACUCCGUGCCAGCAGCCGCGGUAAUACGGAGGGGGCGAGCGUUAUUCGGAAUUAUUGGGCGUAAAGGGCGCGUAGGCGGCCUGGUAAGUCAAAGGUGAAAUCCCUCGGCUCAACUGAGGAAUGGCCUUUGAAACUGUCAGGCUUGAGGCCGGGAGGGGGUAGCGGAAUUCCCAGUGUAGCGGUGAAAUGCGUAGAUAUUGGGAGGAACACCAGUGGCGAAGGCGGCUACCUGGACCGAGACUGACGCUGAGGCGCGAAAGCGUGGGGAGCAAACAGGAUUAGAUACCCUGGUAGUCCACGCUGUAAACGAUGUGUGCUAGACGUUGGGGAGCCUAGCUCUUCGGUGUCGCAGCUAACGCGGUAAGCACACCGCCUGGGGAGUACGGCCGCAAGGUUAAAACUCAAAGGAAUUGACGGGGGCCCGCACAAGCGGUGGAGCAUGUGGUUUAAUUCGACGCAACGCGAAGAACCUUACCAGCCCUUGACAUGCCUCGUAUGGGGUGGGGAGACCCACUUCUUCAGUUCGGCUGGCGGGGACACAGGUGCCGCAUGGCCGUCGUCAGCUCGUGUCGUGAGAUGUUGGGUUAAGUCCCGCAACGAGCGCAACCCUUAUCAUUAGUUGCUACGCAAGGGCACUCUAAUGAGACUGCCGGUGACAAACCGGAGGAAGGUGGGGAUGACGUCAGGUCAUCAUGGCCCUUAUGGGUAGGGCUACACACGUCAUACAAUGGCCGGUACAGAGGGCUGCCAACCCGCGAGGGGGAGCUAAUCUCAGAAAACCGGUCGUAGUCCGGAUCGCAGUCUGCAACUCGACUGCGUGAAGUCGGAAUCGCUAGUAAUCGCGGAUCAGCUUGCCGCGGUGAAUACGUUCCCGGGCCUUGUACACACCGC
rnacentral:rRNA from 1 species